rnacentral:lncRNA from 1 species
UCAAAUAACACUAUUAAAAAAUGGGGUACAGAACUAAACAAAGAAUUUUCAACUGAGGAAUAUCGAAUGGCCAAGAAGCACCUAAAGAAAUGUUCAACAUCUUUAGUCAUCAGGGAAAUGCAAAUCAAAAUAACCCUGAGAUUCCACCUCACAGCACUCAGAAUGGCUAAGAUCAAAACCUUAGGUGACAGCAGAUGCUGGUGAGGAUGUGGAGAAAGAGGAACACUGCUCCAUUGCUGGUGGGAUUGUAAGCUGAUACAACCGCUCUGGAAAUCAGUCUGGUGGUUCCUCAAAAAAUUGGACAUAGUACUACCAGAAGACCCAGCGACACCACUCCUGGGCAUAUAUAUACCCAGAAGAUUCUCCAACAUGUAAUAAGGACACAUGCUCCACUAUGUUCAUAGCUGCCUUAUUUAUAAUAGCCAGGUGCUGGAAAGAAACCAGAUGUCCUUCAACAGAGGAAUGGAUACAGAAAAUAUGGUAUAUUUACACAAUGGAGUACUACCCAGCUAUUAAAAAUAAUGAAUUCAUGAAAUUUGCAGGCAAAUGGAUAGAACUAGAAAAUAUCAUCUUGAGUGAGGUAACCCAAUCACAAAAGAGCACAAAUGGUAUGCACUCACUGAUAAGUGGAUAUUAGCCCAAAAGCUCCAAAUAACCAAGAUACAUUUCACAGAUCACAUGAAUCUCAAGAAGAAGGAAGACCAAAGUGUGGGUGCUUUGGUGCUUCUUAGAAGAACAAAAUACUCACAGGAGCAAAUAUGGAGAUAAAGUGUAGAGCAGAGACUGAAGAAAAGGCCACCCAGAGACUGUCCCACCUGGGGAUUCAUCCCAUAUACAGUUACCAAAUGUAGACACUAUUGUGGAUGCCAAGAAGUGUAUGCUGAAAACCUGAUAUGGCUCUCUCCUGAGAGGCCCUGCCAGAGCCUUACAAAUACAGCCAACCAUUGGACUGAGCACGGGGUCCCCAAUAAGGGAAUUAAAGGACUGAAGGAGCUGAAGGGGAUUGCCACCCCAUAGGAAGAACAACAAUAUCAACCAACCAGAGCCCCAGAGCUCCCAGGGACUAAGCCAUCAACAAAGGAGUACACAUGGCUCCAGCUGCAUAUGCUGCAGAGGAUGGCCUUGUCAGGCAUCAAUGGAAUGAGAGAUCCUUGGUUUUAUGAAGGCUCGACAGAUGCCCCAGUGUAGGGGAACUGAGGGCAGGGAGAUGGGUGUGUGAGUGGAGGAACCCCAUCAUAGAGGCAGGGGGAGGGAGGAUGGGAUAGGGGUUUUCUGGGGCCUGGGGGGGGGGCAGGGCCAGGAAAGGGGAAAACAUAUGAAAUAUAAAUAAAGAAAAUAUCC